rnacentral:lncRNA from 1 species
UGUUCAUCAAGAUCUCACAAAAUAAACCAAACAACUAAGAACUCUAGGAAUCCACAUAUAGCAUCAAGAAGAAAACAAAUGAUCAUCUACGUGGUUUUCGCAAGGCCAUGUCUUCUCGUGUAUAUGCAUUUCAAAGUUUCAUAUAACACCAUUGGUCCCCUUUCAGCUAGUCUUUGCUUCCUGGAAUCUGUUUUGGACAUCACCACCGGAGCUUAGUAGACAAGCUUCUAAGUGGGUCGAGCUCGUGUUCUUUUCUUGGGCUGUCUCCGUUACCACCGGUCUCAGCAUCUCGACAGCAAUCUAUUACCCUCUUUCGAUUCUCGCAGAGGGGGUACGGCAUUGGAGGUUGUGGGUUCGGUUGGUCAGUGAACUUUGCGACUCCUUGGUGGUACUGUACGGAGGGUUAGCAUUUCCCAGGAGCGUAUCUGUCUCAUGAUAGCUACGGCUGUGCUGGCUCUCUAAUCUCAUUGUUCAGGUCUUGUGAGCUCAGUCCGAGCUGUAUUCAGCGGCUUUCUCUGGCCCGGUUUCUUGCUGUUCAGUUGGCAAUUGUAUAUAUGGAAUAAUCAGGAGUAGUUCUUCUUUGGGAUGCAUUUUGGUUCCAACCUAGAAGGUCCGCUACGGGUUCUCCGUUGUGGGUGCGCGAGAGGAGUAUAGAAGUUGGUCUUGUCAACCACGUCUAUCUUUCUUGGUGGUGUCGCGUACUGAGCAUGUCGGCUUCAGAGGCUUGAUCUUGGGCUGCCUCUUCUCCACCUUUUCAAGGUGGUGCCUGCUCUCUUUGUCUUUUUGGUAUAGGUCUUUGGCGUGUGGCGAUCCUUGGAGGCUGUUCUGUCCGAAUAAUGCUCCUCAAGUUGAUGCGGGUGAUGGACCUCUAGUGUGGCUGUCUGUUCGGGUUAGCGGAUGCUCGGGAAGUCUUCAGCGAGCUGUUCUUGGUCGAGCUAAAUCUUUAAGAGCGGAUCAUCGGGGAGGCCAAAAUUACCGGGUUUCGACUCUCGAUAUAACUGUGGCUCUUCUUUUUGCGGCAAGCUGUAAGUGCGGAUUGGUUGAGGCCCUGGAUUGCAGUUAUUACUUGUUGUGUUUGUUCUUGUUUAGACUUGAUCGAGUUACUGUUUAGAUUUUUUUUUUUUCUUCAGCUUCUUGUUACCAUUGUACUUCUGUCAAAAAUCUGAUAAUUGGUAAUAAUAUCUUUACAUUUUUACAAAAAGAAAAAAAUUCAGAUAAAUAACCCUCAAUUUCGGAGUUACAUUGACCAUGAAAAAAGAGUAAAUCUCUGUGUAGUGUGUACUGAAUUAUUUUAUCAGUGAGAACAGAAUCUUCUUUUACGUAACG